UGGGGGGCUCUGGCCUCCUGCCGGCUAAGAAGAGAGGCCUCUGAGGAACCCAAAUGACUGACACCUUGAUGUCGGUCUUCCAGUCUCCAAAACAGUGAUAAAAUAAAUUUCUGUUGGUCUGUCCAUCCCUUCUGUGGUAUUUUUUUAUGACAGCUCUAGAAAACGAAUGCAGCCCUUUGUGAGUCAGACAGUAGUACAUGAAAGAAAAACAAUACUUGAAAAAAUAAUGUUUGAAAGAAAAACGGCUGGGAUUAACAGGGAUCAAAAUGACAAAUGUGUUCAAGAUUUGCAACUGAAGCAACGAAGCCAAGCCUUGAGGCCAGGGCGGCAGGUGUGACUUCAUGAUUUGUGGGACUCGCUGCUAAAUGAAAAUGUGGGGCACCUUGAUCAAAAAGCAGCAAAGAAAUAACAUUAAGGAUACUAAAAUACAAAGUUUUCUCUUUCUCCUAUGGUCUCUCUCUCAUCAUGGUGUUUUGUGUUUGUUAUUUAAUGUUAAUCUAAGAAACAUUUAAAUUUAAUAUUAGCAUGAACUUCAUCACUCAUCUUAUAUUUUACAAUGUUAGUUAGUUUUAAGGGCACAUAUAAGAGCAUUUUACUCAAUGCAGAAUCAUAGAAACUAUACAAUUUGCAUUUUGUAGCUCACACAUGUUUAUUAACUUCCUUCUAACCUAAACAGUACAAAUGUUACAACAAAAACCUAACUCAGCUGUUUUUAUUUCACUUUUUGAAAUACAUUCCACCAACACUCUCUGCCUUCAUUUCCUGGUGAGUAAAGCACCUGUGGGUUGCCCCGCCUUCCCCUGCCUUCUAUGGCAUUGUUUUCAGCCUAGGUAUUGGCUAAUACAUGGAAGGAGCAUGAAUAAGAAAGGCCAUGACAGGGGACCCUUGGUCAUCUGGGUUUUUUAGGAGGCUAAUGCUUUCUUCCUGUGUUUAAAGCAAGUUCUGCUUUGAACAGAAGAAUGGCCGCUCAGGGCUGGAUGUAGCACAUAUGACUUGUGCUUGUUCUGAGCCUCACGGAACUUCAAUGCAUCAUGGAUGCAGUCGAAUUCUGUGCUUGCAGGAUGUCAUGAAUGCCAUGUGGACAGGGCCAAAAGGAGCGGCAUGUUCACACACGUGCUCUGUUGUCCGACUGCUUUAUCUCUGAAACACAGGUCCAAAGAUAAAAUUAGCAAGGACUGCAAGAUGGCCUGGCAUGGGUCCCUGACAUGAGCUCCCAUGCAGCACACAGACCACAAGGCCUUGAAGCUGGCCCUGAAAGCAGUGAAGCCAGCACUCAAAAGCAAAGAGAUUAAGAGGGCCCCAGACUGACUGCAAGCAAAUCCCUAAUAAGUGUCUGGCAGGGGUCCCUAAAACCUCCUUACAGAGAAGUGCUGGAGUGAAAGCCCAGUGUCCAACCGUGAGGAGCAGAGACAGGAAUUAAUGACUGAGGGCCACUUUCCCCAUCGGUGGGUAGCAUCUCAGGUCCAACGGGCUUUGCGUGACUGAGAACCUAUAAAACACAAAACCUUCUUUCUAGGGAAAAUGUUCCUGAGUUCUCAAAGACAGACUUACAAAUCUUUGGGAACCCAAACUAUGUCAAAGGUACAAGCCACCCAUACCUAUCCUUCCUGGGAGAACAUUUGGCUCUUCAACAAGGCACAGCCCAUCUGGGCAGCUUGCUAAGACCGCGAAGAUGUGGAGGGAGGCACCUGGGUGCACUGGAAUCCCUGGGCCAGGAGCUGGAGACCCGGGUCGGGUGACCAACUCUGGCAGAAAGUGUGUGACCUUAAUCAACUCACUUUCAAAGAGUCUCAUUUCUCUCUUCCGCAAAACAAGAGAGUUGGAUUUGAUGAACCCCAAGGGCCCAAACUAAGCUAAAAAUAACCAGGACCAGCAAAACUGUGUGUGACAAGAAGGCAGAGGGAAAAGAGUGACGCUCAGAGGGACUAACUUAACCGCGAGUGAUGUACUGGAGACUUUUCUGGAAACCGUUGCAGGCUGGUCCUAUUUACUGUCUCCCCGCAAGUCUUGGAAGCUCCCCGGCCACUUGGGGUCUGAUGUCCUCGAGGCCCAGGGAGUGUGAACAGGGGCAGCGCUCACCAGCAUGUUCCCUGCCUGCCCACCUGGGCCACCCCUUCUUCUUGUUCCUCUCGAGUCCAGCUUUGGCCUAUUUGUGACCCUGGACCAGAAGAAGAUUCUGGACUGCUUGCGACAUCACUACUAUUUAUCGCUACUGUUUUUCUUAUAAACCCAUUGCUGACAGCUGACCCCCUUAAGUUUCUAGGAACAUUGAUGGAAACAAAGCAGCCAAGCGGCAAUAAGGUCUGGAGGAAAGGAGGCGGGGAUGCCUUAAGAUGUGGCUCCGACGCCAGCAAGCUGUGUAGCCCCAAGCAGGUCCUUUUACCUGUGACUGCUUUUUUUCCUUCCCCAAAAUCUCUUCUCAGGGGACAACAUCCUGUUUUUCAGUUGUGGAUACAUCCAUCUUCUAUGAUGAAAUCCUCAGGUUCAGGUGGGAUGGACCUUCUCCUGUUUCUAACUAUCCUAAUCCCACCGGCACCUCCCGUACCUGGAUCCCCGGUGACGGAUCAGGCCUCUGAGAGGGGCUUGACUAGAGCGCAAGACUUCAGACCUGUAACAGGGCUGCUGGGAGAGAACUGUUGCUUAUUUAUCUGUUCACGAGAUUUGACAGCACGAGCGUGCGAGGCCUGGAGCCACAGCAGCCGUUUUGCUCUUGUGAAAUGGAGCCUGAGGGUCUGACUGAAGUGGGCAAACACACGUAGAAAGGCAGAAUGAACAGGAAGUAGAGACACGGCGUCUCGAUGUCAUUCUCUGAGCCUCUGUAUCGAACUGUGCCUGAAGCCAGAAACCACCCCUGGACGUGAGCCGACAGGUCCCUCUGUUCAUUUAAGCUGGUUCCAGUCGAGCUGGCGACCACUGGCAAGAGUAGUAAUGCUGACCACUACCCCUCCUCUGUCCGGGCCUCGGUGUCCUCCAGGGCACAACAGCUGCCUUGGGCGCAGUGAACAGCAUGAGCCGAAGUAACGGUCUUCUCUUUUCCAGGCGUGGCCAGAAUUCCAGGGUGGCAGCAAACACAAUCGUUCAAGAUGCCAAACACUGGUUUCUUCACCCAGUAAGCAGCGGAUUUCACAACACUGUGUAUGUGUCACAUGACAGCCUUUGAUAUAUGUGAUUACAAUUGCUCACACAUAAUUCUGACUUUCCAGGAGGGAUCUCUUUUCUGAGCCCCAGGUGCUGUAUCCUGCUGACUACUGGACACCCCCACCCAGAUAUUUUGCAGUUACCUCAACCUGGCAGACAAUCCACUCUGCCUGCGGCCUUGUGAAGUCGGCCUUCGAAGGGCUGUUUCACCUCUGUCUCCCAGCCUCCUGCCGCUCCUGCGUGAAGCCCACCCGCAUCUUGCCCGACCACCGCCAGCACUUCCCCGCCUGAAGAUGACGCUGCGCCUCGGGGUUCGGGUUUCCGCUCCAGCGCGCACCCCCUCGGGCCCAGAAGUGGUGUCGCAGCUCAGCGUCCAGUACCCGGGCCGCGGUGUGUCCUCCUGCAAAGAGACCUCCCCCCGAGUGCUCUAACGUGGGUGAGGGUCCUCCCUGGGGCGCCGGCCCUCGCCCACCUUCCUCCACGAGCACCUGGCUCUCCAGGAGGAUGGGCCUCCGGCCGUGUCCCCUCCCUCCCCAGGCUCCUGACGGCAGCCUGGAGAGAAAAAGGGAGGGAGGGGGAGGCUGGGAGGCGCAGGGUGGCGGGGCCGGUCCCACCUUCUGGAAGCGCCGGGGGCUGGGGGAGCGAGGUGUCCCGGCUCUGGCUCUGGCUGCCGAAAGCCCUCUUUAGAACGCAGGACUGGCCGCUCUGUCCACUGUUCGGGGCCCUACUGUAGAUGCCGGACCAACAGGAAAAGCCAGACUGAGAUCCCCCUACAGGUGGCUUCUCGCAGCUUAGUUAGGCUUCCAGAGGCGCCGAGUCUCUGCCGCCACCGACCUUCCCGGUGCUGAUUGAUACUUUGUAUCUAUGGAGUCUCUUCCUGACGCUGUGCUCGCCGGCUUAUGGGUGGGCAGCAUGCAGGCAGCUCGCCGGCAGGAUGGGUGCGGGAGGCGGAACAAACACACCCGGUCUGGCCCGGUGGGCAGUGCAUGUUCUGCACCUGAGAAUGUCAUGUCUGUGUAGCGCGUUGCAGUUUAACAAAGGCUGCCAUCCCCCAGCUGCGGGUGCACGGCUGAGUAAUCAAUAAAUACUUCGUAAGUGA